rnacentral:rRNA from 1 species
UACGAAGGGGGCUAGCGUUGCUCGGAAUCACUGGGCGUAAAGCGCACGUAGGCGGCUUCUUAAGUCAGGGGUGAAAUCCUGGAGCUCAACUCCAGAACUGCCUUUGAUACUGAGGAGCUUGAGUCCGGGAGAGGUGAGUGGAACUGCGAGUGUAGAGGUGAAAUUCGUAGAUAUUCGCAAGAACACCAGUGGCGAAGGCGGAGCUCACUGGCCCGGUACUCGGACGCUGAGGUGCGGAAAGCGAUGGGGAGCGAAC